rnacentral:rRNA from 1 species
UACGUAGGGUGCGAGCGUUGCCCGGAUUUAUUGGGCGUAAAGGGCGCGUAGGCGGCCCGGCGCGUCAUGCGUGAAAUCUCCCGGCUCAACUGGGAGGGGUCGUGUGAUACGGCCGGGCUGGAGCAAGGUAGGGGGCAGUGGAAUUCCCGGUGUAGUGGUGGAAUGCGUAGAUAUCGGGAGGAACACCAGUGGCGAAGGCGGCUGCCUGGACCUGUGCUGACGCUGAGGCGCGAAAGCGUGGGGAGCGAUCCGGAUUAGAAACCCUCGUAGUCC